AGUUCUAAAAAAUGUAGUUCAGACAUUUCCCAAGUGUUUCAUCAUCAAAUCACGGGAAGAACCUGGCUCCCUCCUCAAGUCAAUAGGGCAGCUACCACUGAGGCCCUGCAAAGGCAACAUUCUCUUUCCCAUAACAUCAGUGAUGACACAGGGAAACUGAGCAUGUUGGACAAUGGGGGCCACUUCUAAUACCCCAGGGAGAGGACACUCAGACACUGAGGCACAUCUCCAAAGGCCUGGCCCAUGCCCAGGGACUUUGGAAUCUUGUGGUUUGCCUCAAACUCUGGCAAGAGGGAAAAGUCCCAGUGCCUAAUUUAGUUGCUCCCUCAAAAGUAAACCAAAGUGAGUCAUGUGGGAAUGGAGAAACCACCAGUGCCUGAUGUCCAUCUGAGGAUCCUGAUGAAGACCCAAUGCUGAAGAUGUGGGGAUGUAAGUACCCGGGUGGCCUCUGUUUCCACUCCAAUGAGUCACUUGCAAGAUGAGCCAAGCAUGUGCAUGUCCAUCAUGCAAUGAAGGAUUGCCUCAUGUAUGCUUCUGCCUCCCCUUUGAUAUUUUUGUCAGGGAUGUGGAGUUGGGAUACAGAGACCUGAUCCAGCUGUUGCUGUGACCUGAGCAUAGGACACGGAGGCACUGUCAAGCAUCACUAUGGAAGAACAGGCUGCAGAGCUGUCUGGAUAUGGAAUGUUCGCACACGCCCUGUGUUUGAACACUUGGUCCCUAGCUAAAUGUGCUGCAUGGAUAUAAGACGCCAUGCCACAAGCUCCUGACUCUACAGACUGAGCAGCACGGCUGCCAUGUCAUCCUCACGAUGAUUGACUGCAUCCCUUGAAACCAUUAGCCCAAAUAAAAUCCUUCUUGCCUGAA